UACGUAGGGGGCAAGCGUUGUCCGGAUUUAUUGGGCGUAAAGAGCGUGUAGGCGGCCACACAGGUCCGCUGUGAAAACUCGAGGCUCAACCUCCAGCUGUCGUUGGAAACUAUUCGGCUAGAGUCCGGAAGAGGAGAGUGGAAUUCCCGGUGUAGCGGUGAAAUGCGCAGAUAUCGGGAAGAACACCCAUGGCGAAGGCAGCUCUCUGGGACGGUACUGACGCUGAGACGCGAAAGCGUGGGGAGCGAACAGGAUUAGAUACCCUAGUAGU
rnacentral:rRNA from 1 species